rnacentral:rRNA from 1 species
CCUACGGGAGGCAGCAGUAGGGAAUAUUGCUCAAUGGGCGAAACCCUGAAGCAGCAACGCCGCGUGGAGGAUGAAGGUUUUCGGAUUGUAAACUCCUUUUGUUAGAGAAGAUAAUGACGGUAUCUAACGAAUAAGCACCGGCUAAUACCGUGCCAGCAGCCGAGGUAAUACGGUGGGUGCAAGCGUUACUCGGAAUCACUGGGCGGAAAGAGCGCGUAGGCGGGAUAGCAAGUCAGAUGUGAAAUCCUUUGGAUUAACCAUAGAACUGCAUUUGAAACUGUGAUUCUAGAGUAUGGGAGAGGUAGGUGGAAUUCUUGGUGUAGGGGUAAAAUCCGUAGAGAUCAAGAGGAAUACUCAUUGCGAAGGCGACCUGCUAGAACAUAACUGACGCUGAUGCGCGAAAGCGUGGGGAGCAAACAGGAUUAGAUACCCGGGUAGUC